GCCUGGGUGGCACAGCGGUUGAGCGUCUGCCUUUGGCUCAGGGCGUGAUCCCUGCGUUGUGGGAUCGAGCCCCACAUCAGGCU
rnacentral:tRNA from 1 species